AACGCUGAGGCGUGACGACGAGGCACUACGGUGCUGAAGUGAUAAAUGCCCAGCUUCCAGGAAAAGCCUCUAAGCAUCAGGUAACACAGAAUCGUACCCCAAACCGACACAGGUGGUCAGGUAGAGAAUACCAAGGCGCUUGAGAGAACUCGGGUGAAGGAACUAGGCAAAAUGGUGCCGUAACUUCGGGAGAAGGCACGCUGGCGCGUAGGUGGAGGGACUUGCUCCCCGAGCCGAAGCCAGUCGAAGAUACCAGCUGGCUGCAACUGUUUAUUAAAAACACAGCACUGUGCAAACACGAAAGUGGACGUAUACGGUGUGACGCCUGCCCGGUGCCGGAAGGUUAAUUGAUGGGGUUAUCCGCAAGGAGAAGCUCUUGAUCGAAGCCCCGGUAAACGGCGGCCGUAACUAUAACGGUCCUAAGGUAGCGAAAUUCCUUGUCGGGUAAGUUCCGACCUGCACGAAUGGCGUAAUGAUGGCCAGGCUGUCUCCACCCGAGACUCAGUGAAAUUGAACUCGCUGUGAAGAUGCAGUGUACCCGCGGCAAGACGGAAAGACCCCGUGAACCUUUACUACAGCUUGACACUGAACAUUGAGCCUUGAUGUGUAGGAUAGGUGGGAGGCUUUGAAGCGCGGACGCCAGUUCGCGUGGAGCCAACCUUGAAAUACCACCCUUUAAUGUUUGAUGUUCUAACGUAGGCCCGUGAUCCGGGCUGCGGACAGUGUCUGGUGGGUAGUUUGACUGGGGCGGUCUCCUCCUAAAGAGUAACGGAGGAGCACGAAGGUCAGCUAAUCACGGUCGGACAUCGUGAGGUUAGUGCAAUGGCAUAAGCUGGCUUGACUGCGAGAGUGACGGCUCGAGCAGGUGCGAAAGCAGGUCAUAGUGAUCCGGUGGUUCUGAAUGGAAGGGCCAUCGCUCAACGGAUAAAAGGUACUCCGGGGAUAACAGGCUGAUACCGCCCAAGAGUUCAUAUCGACGGCGGUGUUUGGCACCUCGAUGUCGGCUCAUCACAUCCUGGGGCUGAAGUAGGUCCCAAGGGUACGGCUGUUCGCCGUUUAAAGUGGUACGCGAGCUGGGUUUAGAACGUCGUGAGACAGUUCGGUCCCUAUCUGCCGUGGGCGCUGGAGAAUUGAGGGGGGUUGCUCCUAGUACGAGAGGACCGGAGUGAACGCACCACUGGUGUUCGGGUUGUCAUGCCAAUGGCAUUGCCCGGUAGCUAAGUGCGGAAAAGAUAAGUGCUGAAAGCAUCUAAGCACGAAACUUGCCCCGAGAUGAGUUCUCCCUGACUCCUUGAGAGUCCUGAAGGGACGUUGAAGACUACGACGUUGAUAGGCCGGGUGUGUAAGCGCAGCGAUGCGUUGAGCUAACCGGUACUAAUGACCCGUGAGGCUUAACCUUACAACGCCAGAGGCGUUU
rnacentral:rRNA from 1 species